rnacentral:rRNA from 1 species
UACAGAGGUCCCAAGCGUUGUUCGGAUUCAUUGGGCGUAAAGGGUGUGUAGGUGGCGCCGUAAGUCGGGUGUGAAAUCUCGGGGCUUAACUCCGAAACUGCAUUCGAUACUGCGGUGCUUGAGGACUGGAGAGGAGACUGGAAUUCAUGGUGUAGCAGUGAAAUGCGUAGAUAUCGAGAGGAACACCAGUGGCGAAGGCGGCGACCUGGGUCGAGACUGACGCUGAGGCGCGAAAGCGUGGGGAGCAAACAGG